UACGUAGGAUGCAAGCGUUGUCCGGAAUUAUUGGGCGUAAAGAGCGCGCAGGCGGUCACUCAAGUCAGAUGUGAAAUAUCCGGGCUUAACCCGGAGGGGUCAUUUGAAACUGAGUAACUAGAGUACAGCAGAGGAUAGCGGAAUUCCCGGUGUAGUGGUGAAAUGCGUAGAUAUCGGGAGGAACACCAGUGGCGAAGGCGGCUAUCUGGGCUGAAACUGACGCUGAGACGCGAAAGCGUGGGGAGCGAACAGG
rnacentral:rRNA from 1 species